AAACCCCGCGUCGGGAGAAUCCGGUCACUGACCGGUGCCGAAGGAGCAACCGCCCCGGUAAACUCUCAGGCUCAAGGACCGCACGGGGACA
rnacentral:ncRNA from 2 species